rnacentral:tRNA from 13 species
UCCGUCGAGCCGGAGUCGAACCAGCGACCUAUGGAUCACUGCAUUUUCUCCUCUACAGUCCACCGCUCUGCCAACUGAGCUAUCGACGG